ACCGACUAAUGUUGAAAAAUUAGCGGAUGACUUGUGGCUGGGGGUGAAAGGCCAAUCAAACCGGGAGAUAGCUGGUUCUCCCCGAAAGCUAUUUAGGUAGCGCCUCGUGAACUCAUCUUCGGGGGUAGAGCACUGUUUCGGCUAGGGGGUCAUCCCGACUUACCAACCCGAUGCAAACUACGAAUACCGAAGAAUGUUAUCACGGGAGACACACGGCGGGUGC
rnacentral:rRNA from 2 species